rnacentral:lncRNA from 1 species
AGAAAGUACAAUUCAGUUGUACAGACAAACGAUCAGAGAAAUAAGAAUCAAGCAGGUAAAUCAUUAACAAUAAUGCAGGUGUACAGACAAACCAUAAGGAAGUUUAUAGACAACAAUUCAGAUGUACAGACAAACCACAAGGAAGAUAAGAAACAAUGCAGUUGUACAGACAAACCACAAGGAAGAUAAGAAACAAUGCAGGUGUACAGACAAACCACAAGAAAGAUAAGAAACAAUGCAGGUGUACACACCAAACAUAAGGAAGUUAAUAAACAAUGCAAAUGGACAGACAAAUCAUAAAGGAGAUAAGAAACAAUGCAUGUUUACAGACAAACCAUCAGGGAGAUAAUAAACAAUACAGAUGCACAG